rnacentral:miRNA from 10 species
CAUUCUUCUUUGCAUUGCGUA